rnacentral:rRNA from 1 species
UACGGGGGGAGCAAGCGUUGUUCGGAUUUACUGGGCGUAAAGGGCGCGUAGGCGGCCACCGCAAGUCAGUUGUGAAAUCUCUGGGCUUAACCCAGAACGGUCAGCUGAUACUGCGGGGCUAGAGUGCAGAAGGGGCGACUGGAAUUCUCGGUGUAGCGGUGAAAUGCGUAGAUAUCGAGAGGAACACCUGCGGCGAAGGCGGGUUGCUGGGCUGACACUGACGCUGACAGCGCGAAAGCUAGGGGAGCGAACGGG